UAGUGAGUUUGAUCCUGGCUCAGAACGAACGCUGGCGGCAGGCCUAACACAUGCAAGUCGAGCGCCCCGCAAGGGGAGCGGCGGACGGGUGAGUAACGCGUGGGAACGUGCCCCUUUCUACGGAAUAGCCUCGGGAAACUGGGAGUAAUACCGUAUAAGCCCUACGGGGGAAAGAUUUAUCGGGAAGGGAUCGGCCCGCGUUGGAUUAGGUAGUUGGUGGGGUAAUGGCCUACCAAGCCGACGAUCCAUAGCUGGUUUGAGAGGAUGAUCAGCCACACUGGGGACUGAGACACGGCCCAGACUCCUACGGGAGGCAGCAGUGGGGAAUUUGGACAAUGGGGCGCAAGCCUGAUCCAGCAAUGCCGCGUGCAGGAUGAAGGCCUUCGGGUUGUAAACUGC
rnacentral:rRNA from 1 species